GAUCAUGGCUCAGGAUGAACGCUAGCGACAGGCUUAACACAUGCAAGUCGAGGGGCAGCGGGGGUAGCAAUACCCGCCGGCGACCGGCGCACGGGUGAGUAACGCGUAUCCAACCUUCCGUACACUCAGGGAUAGCCUUUCGAAAGAAAGAUUAAUACCUGAUGGUAUGAUGAGAUUGCAUGAUAGCAUCAUUAAAGAUUUAUCGGUGUACGAUGGGGAUGCGUUCCAUUAGGUAG
rnacentral:rRNA from 1 species